CUGGCUCAGGACGAACGCUGGCGGCGUGCUUAACACAUGCAAGUCGAGCGAUGAAGUUCCUUCGGGAA
rnacentral:rRNA from 1 species